rnacentral:rRNA from 1 species
GGUCAAGUUAUUAAGGGUGCAGGGCGGAUGCCUUGGCACUAGGAGCCGAUGAAGGACGUGAUAAGCUGCGAUAAGCUUCGGGGAGUUGCACGUAAACUUUGAUCCGAAGAUUUCCGAAUGAGGAAACUCACUUAGAGUAAUGUCUAAGUAUCAUUAAGUGAAUACAUAGCUUAAUGAGGGGAACUCAGGGAACUGAAACAUCUAAGUACCUGAAGGAAGAGAAAGAAAUUCGAUUCCGUAAGUAGCGGCGAGCGAACGCGGAUUAGCCCAAACCAAUAAAGUUUUCUUUAUUGGGGUUGCGGACAUAUCAUAACGAAGAGGUAUCGUAAUUGAAGAGGUUUGGAAAGACCCACCACAGAAGGUAAUAGUCCUGUAUGUUAAACGAGAAGACUUUAGAUAUGAUCCAGAGUACCACGGGACACGUGAAACCCUGUGGGAAGCAGGAGGGACCACCCUCCAAGGCUAAAUACUACCUAGUGACCGAUAGCGUAUAGUACCGUGAGGGAAAGGUGAAAAGAACCCCGGGAGGGGAGUGAAAUAGAACCUGAAACCCUGCACUUACAAGCUGUGGAAGCACAUUUCUUGUGUGACCGCGUACUUUUUGUAGAACGGGCCAACGAGUUACGUUAAGUAGCAAGGUUAAGCACUUAAGGUGCGGAGCCGUAGCGAAAGCGAGUUUUAACUGAGCGUUCAGUUACUUGACGUAGACCCGAAACCGGGCGACCUACCCAUGAGCAGGAUGAAGCGAAAGUAAAAUUUCGUGGAGGUCCGAACCCACGAGCGUUGAAAAGCUCGGGGAUGACUUGUGGGUAGCGGUGAAAUUCCAAUCGAGCCCGGAGAUAGCUGGUUCUCCCCGAAAUAGCUUUAGGGCUAGCCUCAAGGUGAGAGAUACGGAGGUAGAGCACUGAAUGUCCUAGGGGGUAUUGCACCUACCGAAGACUAUCAAACUCCGAAUGCCGUCAUCUUAUACUUGGGAGUCAGACUGUGGGUGAUAAGAUUCAUAGUCGAAAGGGCAACAGCCCAGAUCGUCAGCUAAGGUCCCUAAAUGUAAGUUAAGUGGUAAAGGAUGUGGGAUUGCACAGACAACCAGGAUGUUGGCUUAGAAGCAGCCACUCAUUCAAAGAGUGCGUAAUAGCUCACUGGUCGAGUGAUCCUGCGCCGAAGAUUUCCGGGGCUAAAACUUACUACCGAAGCUACGGCAUCAGUAAUGAUGGGUAGGGGAGCUUCCCAUACGGGUUGAAGCAUGACCGUAAGGACAUGUGGACAGUAUGGGAGUGAGAAUGUUGGCAUGAGUAGCGAGAUGUGGGUGAGAAUCCCACAGGCCGUAAACCCAAGGUUUCCAGGGGAAGGUUCGUCCGCCCUGGGUUAGUCGGGACCUAAGCUGAGGCCGAAAGGCGUAGGUGAUGGACAACAGGUUGAUAUUCCUGUACUAC